AGAGUUUGAUCAUGGCUCAGAUUGAACGCUGGCGGCAGGCCUAACACAUGCAAGUCGAGCGGAAACGAGUUAUCUGAACCUUCGGGGGACGAUAACGGCGUCGAGCGGCGGACGGGUGAGCAAUGCCUAGGAAAUUGCCCUGAUGUGGGGGAUAACCAUUGGAAACGAUGGCUAAUACCGCAUAACGCCUACGGGCCAAAGAGGGGGACCUUCGGGCCUCUCGCGUCAGGAUAUGCCUAGGUGGGAUUAGCUAGUUGGUGAGGUAAUGGCUCACCAAGGCGACGAUCCCUAGCUGGUCUGAGAGGAUGAUCAGCCACACUGGAACUGAGACACGGUCCAGACUCCUACGGGAGGCAGCAGUGGGGAAUAUUGCACAAUGGGCGCAAGCCUGAUGCAGCCAUGCCGCGUGUGUGAAGAAGGCCUUCGGGUUGUAAAGCACUUUCAGUCGUGAGGAAGGUAGUGUAGUUAAUAGCUGCAUUAUUUGACGUUAGCGACAGAAGAAGCACCGGCUAACUCCGUGCCAGCAGCCGCGGUAAU
rnacentral:rRNA from 1 species